UGAAGUUUUUAAGCUGUUCAGUGACUUGGGCAUACCUAGCAGUAAGAUCAGUAUCAACUACGAGAAACCUGAAGCAAUGCAAUCUACCAAUAGUUUGUCAAUGCAAUUGUACGAUGGAGGAUUUAGCACACCCAUAAACAAAACAAGUGUUCCUCUCUUUUGUUCAAGUUUUACACCUGAAUGUGAAGAGAAUUGAAUGUGCAAGACAUGCAUACAGGUGGUCCAUCAUGAUUCAUGAAAGAUGCAUCUCUUGCAAGAACAGCC